UAUAUUUUUUAUUUUCAGCUUUAUGAUACAAUGAGUUUCGUUCACAUCCGUGAUUUACAGCCGUUUCAAUUUAACAAGAAGAUUAAAGUCCGUGUAUGUAGAAUUUGGAGACCAAAACUUAUUGGAUAUGAUGAUCAAUUCGGUGGUUUACAGUGUAUAUUGGUUGAUCAAAUGACAGAUGCGAUUCAAGCCACUGUGAAAGAGAUUGACUAGGAUUUAAUUGGUGCAAAGAUAAAAGCUGGUUGUAUUUAUGAGAUCACACAUUUUCACUCCGGCCGUAGCAAAACAUCACACAAAGUUGUUCCGCAUGCUGCCCAUUUGUUCUUCAAUACAAGAACUGUGUUCACCGAACUGUCAAGUGUUUAUACCCAAAUUCCACGACAUCGAUUUUAUUUUCUUGAUUAUGGUCAGUUGUGCACUCGCAUAGACAAAAAUGAAAUCUUGACAGAUGUUUUGGGACACAUUACUGCUGUACAACCUUUAGAAGAAAAAAUGGUGGGCAAUGGACGGUUGGAAACCAAAUGUGAAAUUUACAUUCAAAAUAUCAGGAAAGAAGAUGUUAGAAUAACGCUAUGGGGAGACACUGCACGAGCGUUUGAUUUCCAAGCUUUGGAAGAGUUGGCACCACCAAUAAUCACUGUUUUUACAAGUCUUAAAGUCAAACAAU